rnacentral:rRNA from 1 species
GAGUUUGAUCGUGGCUCAGAUUGAACGCUGGCGGCAUGCCUUACACAUGCAAGUCGAACGGCAGCAUGAUCUAGCUUGCUAGAUUGAUGGCGAGUGGCGAACGGGUGAGUAAUACAUCGGAACGUGCCCUGUAGUGGGGAGUAACUAGUCGAAGAAUUAGCUAAUAACCGCCAUACGACCUGAGGGUGGAAAGUAGGGGGACCGGCAAGGCCGUCAUGCUAUAGGAGCGGCCGAUGUCUGAUUAGCUAGUUGGUGGGGU